UAAGGAAUAUUGGACAAUGGGCGAAAGCCUGAUCCAGCCAUGCCGCGUGAACGAAGACGGCCUUCUGGGUUGUAAAGUUCUUUUCUACGGGAACAAACCCCCUAUGCGUAGGGAAUUGAGUGUACCGUAGGAAUAAGCACCGGCUAACUACGUGCCAGCAGCCGCGGUAAUACGUAGGGUGCAAGCGUUGUCCGGAUUUACUGGGUUUAAAGGGUGCGCAGGCGGGCUGUUAAGUCAGUGGUUAAAGCACACGGCUCAACCGUGGAAAUGCCAUUGAUACUGGCAGUCUUGAGUACAGAUGAGGUAGGCGGAAUUCAUAGUGUAGCGGUGAAAUGCAUAGAUACUAUGAGGAACACCAAUUGCGAAGGCAGCUUACUGGACUGUAACUGACGCUGAGGCACGAAAGCGUGGGUAGCGAACAGGAUUAGAUACCCCCGUAGUCC
rnacentral:rRNA from 1 species